CAAUGGAGGAGCGAGGCGGAAAAUUUCGAAUGUGGCGGCGGUAGUUCCAGGCGACGGCGGACGGUGGUACGGUCCUGGAGGGCCCAGUGCGCGGGGCUAGCCGUGGCUGGAGAGCUUCGAAGAGCCUUGAAAUGUGAGGAGGAGGAAGAUAGCUGUUGCAGAAGUAGUGGCCAAGGCAAAAGAUGGCCAAGGAAAGAUGCCUGAAAAAGUCCUUUCAAGAUAGUCUUGAAGACAUAAAGAAGCGAAUGAAAGAGAAAAGGAAUAAAAACUUGGCAGAGAUUGGCAAACGCAGGUCUUUUAUAGCUGCACCAUGCCAAAUAAUCAAACCAGGAAAUAUGUUCCUCUGGAAUGGACCCCAAUAGUGAUGACAGCUCCAGAAAUUUAUUUGUGAAGGAUUUACCGCAAAUUCCUCUUGAAGAAACUGAACUUCCAGGACAAGGAGAAUCAUUUCAAAUAGAAGAUCAGAUACCUACUAUUCCUCAAGACACACUGGGAGUUGAUUUUGAUUCAGCUACACCACCUGAAACUCAGCAGUCACCUCAUCUUAGCCUGAAGGAUAUCACCAAUGUCUCCUUGUAUCCUGUUGUGAAAAUCAGAAGACUUUCUCUUUCUCCAAAAAAGAAUAAAGCAAGCCCAGCAGUGGCUCUGCCUAAACGUAGGUGCACAGCCAGCGUGAACUAUAAGGAGCCCACCCUCGCUUCGAAACUGAGAAGAGGGGACCCUUUUACAGAUUUGUGUUUUUUGAAUUCUCCUAUUUUCAAGCAGAAAAAGGAUUUGAGACGUUCUAAAAAAAGUAUGAAACAAAUACAAUGAAGGUUUUGUUGGAUAUUGUUUAAAUUCAAUCUACACCUCUUUCUGUUGCUUCAGGAGAGGAUCUGUAAGAGUACACAAACAGAGUGAGCCAUUGCCAUAGAAUAUUCUCUUGACAGGACCCUAGCUCAUAAACAUUUCUUCAGAACUAUACUUCAAAUGGGAUGCUUUGUAUUAAAACUUUAAUAAAUUUAAUUUAUUUUUUCUUUUGAAUAUAAAUAACUGAGCUUAAGCAUUAUCAUCAUAUCGAUUUCUUAUGCUGCCUAAACCUCUUAAUUUUAGUCGAAAUAUAUCUUUUUUUUUUUUUGGAGGCGGAAUUUCAUUCUUGUUGCCCAGGCUGGAGUGCAAUGGCACGAUCUCAGCUUACCGCAACCUCCGCCUCCCAGGUUCAAGCGAUUCUCCUGCCUCAGACUCCCGAGUAGCUGGGACUACAGGCAUGUGCCACUACGCCCGGCUAAUUUUGUAUUUUUAGUAGAGACAGGGUUUCUCCAUGUUGGUCAGGUUGCUCUCAAACUCCCAACCUCAGGUGAUCUGCCCACCUCGGCCUCCCAAAGUGCUGGGAUUACUGAGCCACUGUGCCCAGCCCAAAAUGUAUCUUAUACAAACAUUGUAGAAAUGAAUAAUGAUUACUCAAAUAAGAUCUUUUAAUUAUAAGCUUCUGGCAUCUCUAUUUUUCCCUUAAGUAGGGGAUACUAAAGUGAAUGAUUUUCUAAGAGGAUCUUUUGAAACUCUUUAGUACAAUAUUUGAGUAAAAUAAAUUAUUGUGGAUCUUUUGAAACUCUGUGUAGUAUUCGAGUAAAAUAAAUAUUUGACAUUUACAGUAGGGUACACCCUAAGUUGUUUAUGAAUUCCUUAUACCACUGUUAUAUUUAAUUUUUCAGAUAAAAUAUGUAUGGGAAAAUGACUAGAGAAAUUGAUUCUUUUUUAGGCUCAGGGACAAGAUAAGUGACUAAUUGUGAACCCCAAGCUCUAAUUGUAUGUUCAGAGUGAUGUCUCCAUAAAAUUACAAAUGUCAUGUACUUUCAGGGUAGCUCCUUAUUUAGUCAGAAAUCUCAGAGAUUAAAUGUGUGAAUAUUUAGGGUUUUUGCAUAUUUUUGACCAACCAAUGAAAGCGAAUUAGUUCAGUUUAGAAAGUUUGAUGUCUAUACUUGUAUAUACCUCUUUAAAUUUUAGAACUUUGUAGGUUAUUCAUUUUUAAAGAGCAAUAAAGUUUGUAUAAGAUAGUGA
rnacentral:lncRNA from 1 species